GCCGGGGUGGCUCAGCUGGUUAGAGCGCACGGCUCAUAGGGUUUUUUAGCUAUGCUCUGACUGAAUUCCUGGGAUACCGUGAGGCCGCGGGUUCGAAUCCCGCCCCCGGCA
rfam:Methanobrevibacter sp. 87.7 contig64, whole genome shotgun sequence.